rnacentral:misc_RNA from 1 species
CUUACCGAGUUAUUCAACUCAUCAACCCUGUGAACAUACCUAAACGUUGCUUCGGCGGGAAUAGACGGCCCCGUGAAACGGGCCGCCCCCGCCAGAGGACCCUUAACUCUGUUUCUAUAAUGUUUCUUCUGAGUAAAACAAGCAAAUAAAUUAAAACUUUCAACAACGGAUCUCUUGGCUCUGGCAUCGAUGAAGAACGCAGCGAAAUGCGAUAAGUAAUGUGAAUUGCAGAAUUCAGUGAAUCAUCGAAUCUUUGAACGCACAUUGCGCCCGCCAGUAUUCUGGCGGGCAUGCCUGUUCGAGCGUCAUUACAACCCUCAGGCCCCCGGGCCUGGCGUUGGGGAUCGGCGGAGCCCCCCGUGGGCACACGCCGUCCCCCAAAUACAGUGGCGGUCCCGCCGCAGCUUCCAUCGCGUAGUAGCUAACACCUCGCGACUGGAGAGCGGCGCGGCCACGCCGUAAAACACCCAACUCUUCUGAAGUUGACCUCGAAUCAGGUAGGAAUACC